GUUGCUUCUAUGAUUUAUUGUUGAUCGACCUCUGUUGUGGUUGGUGAUUCACACUUGGAAGCAUAAAACUGUAAUUUAUUGCCAGUUUUAAACAGCAUGAUGUGUAUCUCUUUGCAUUGUGCUACCUGUCUGCUGGUAAAUUC